rnacentral:rRNA from 1 species
GUCGAACGGCAGCACGAGAGAGCUUUGCUCUCUUGGUGGCGAGUGGCGGACGGGUGAGUAAUAUAUCGGAACGUGCCCAGUAGCGGGGGAUAACUACUCGAAAGAGUGGCUAAUACCGCAUACGCCCUACGGGGGAAAGGGGGGGAUCGCAAGACCUCUCACUAUUGGAGCGGCCGAUAUCGGAUUAGCUAGUUGGUGGGGUAAAGGCUCACCAAGGCAACGAUCCGUAGCUGGUUUGAGAGGACGACCAGCCACACUGGGACUGAGACACGGCCCAGACUCCUACGGGAGGCAGCAGUGGGGAAUUUUGGACAAUGGGGGAAACCCUGAUCCAGCCAUCCCGCGUGUAUGAUGAAGGCCUUCGGGUUGUAAAGUACUUUUGGCAGAGAAGAAAAGGCAUCCCCUAAUACGGGAUGCUGCUGACGGUAUCUGCAGAAUAAGCACCGGCUAACUACGUGCCAGCAGCCGCGGUAAUACGUAGGGUGCAAGCGUUAAUCGGAAUUACUGGGCGUAAAGCGUGUGUAGGCGGUUCGGAAAGAAAGAUGUGAAAUCCCAGGGCUCAACCUUGGAACUGCAUUUUUAACUGCCGAGCUAGAGUAUGUCAGAGGGGGGUAGAAUUCCACGUGCAGCAGUGAAAUGCGUAGAUAUGUGGAGGAAUACCGAUGGCGAAGGCAGCCCCCUGGGAUAAUACUGACGCUCAGACACGAAAGCAUGGGGAGCAAACAGGAUUAGAUACCCUGGUAGUCCACGCCCUAAACCCUUAAAGGAGCUGUUGGGGCCGUUAGGCCUUAGUAGCGCAGCUAACGCGUGAAGUUGACCGCCUGGGGAGUACGGUCGCAAGAUUAAAACUCAAAGGAAUUGACGGGGACCCGCACAAGCGGUGGAUGAUGUGGAUUAAUUCGAUGCAACGCGAAAAACCUUACCUGCCCUUGACAUGUCUGGAAUGCCGAAGAGAUUUGGCAGUGCUCGCAAGAGAACCGGAACACAGGUGCUGCAUGGCUGUCGUCAGCUCGUGUCGUGAGAUGUUGGGUUAAGUCCCGCAACGAGCGCAACCCUUGUCAUUAGUUGCUACGCGAGAGCACUCUAAUGAGACUGCCGGUGACAAACCGGAGGAAGGUGGGGAUGACGUCAAGUCCUCAUGGCCCUUAUGGGUAGGGCUUCACACGUCAUACAAUGGUCGGGACAGAGGGUCGCCAACCCGCGAGGGGGAGCCAAUCUCAGAAACCCGAUCGUAGUCCGGAUCGCAGUCUGCAACUCGACUGCGUGAAGUCGGAAUCGCUAGUAAUCGCGGAUCAGAAUGUCGCGGUGAAUACGUUCCCGGGUCUUGCACUCACCGCCCGUCA